CUCACCUGUACAGGAACAGGCAGGGCCUGUAUUUGGCUAGUUGGUAGUUGGCUGUAGGGGGGGGGGCUGCUGGGAAAGGAUGUAGGGAAGUAGGUUGCAGUCAUUCCAGGAGUGGAGGAAGUUGGAGGCUGGCAAACCCAAAGAGGUGGGAAGCAAGAUAGGAAGCAGCCCAGGGAAAGAGCAGCAAGAGGUAGGACUGUACGGGGACUGUGGCUGCUUGUUAUAGGGUUCCUGGCCUGGAAUCCAGUGUUGGGGGCAUGCCUGGGCUCCCCUACCAGCCACUGGGGAAUGGCAAGGGCAGCAGGGCUGGAAAGACUGUGGAUUCCCCAGAAUGGGAGAACUUUAGUGACCUGGCUGGAGGGCCAAGCCACAAAGAGGAAGCUGCAGAUCUGGGAGUGAGCAAGCCAGCAGAGUGAGACAAGAUUGGUGAAGACAAUACUGGAAGAGUGUGCAAACUGGAAGAGCUAAUCCCAGGACAGCCAGCAGGAGGCACUGCUUGUGAGAGGCAGACUGAGGCAAAGGUAGAUUGUGUGACAUGCUCAAACUCACAGAAGGAGUCAGAGUUGCAGCUGAAAUUAAAACUCUCAACUUCUUGGUUCACAGCCCUGUGCACAGGUCCCCUGACCACAGCUCUCUCCCAAGCCCUGAGCCCUGUGUAAGAUCAGCAUUGGCUGAGAUAGAUCAUCAAUACUUACUGAAGGUGGCUUUUGUUGAAAAUACCAAGAAAACAUUCUCGCAUGGCCCUUUGGUACUUUGGGUUUCCACCAAAGGCAGAAAAUGCAAAUGGGAAGGAAAUGUUAAGCCAAAGUUUUUGUUGGCUCUUUUAAAAACCAGUUUUCCACUCCUCAGAAAGAGUGAAAUAUCCCCAGCAGGCUGAGAAACGUUGGAAAAUCAAGCAUUGGCUAGAUGCAGUAGGAGGCCCCCAAACAUUUUUCCAAGAACGUUGUUGUGCACUGUUUUGGGAUCCAAAUAGCAGUGGUCAAUGGAGAAGGAUUCUAGCAAUAAGGAGCAAGAUGGAAAAAGGAACUUGGAUGCUGGCAGUCUGAACUGGAACAGUACAGAGUGUCCUAUAACUGGAUUGCUCUGGGGUUGCUAAUUGGAUACAUAAUCUCACAGCUAUAACAGGUUACUGCUUCAAAUGCAGGUCAGACUGGGAAUGACCAAAAUUCAUCACCAACUGAGGACCAUUCAGUGGUCUAUGUGAAAUGUAUGGGUGGUCUCAGUACAAUUUCUAGUGGACACGUAUCCUCAUUACAGCUGGCACCUUUGUUGUCAGUCCGUGCUGAAGAUGGAAUUACCUUCAUACGGAUAGGGCUGUCCUCUCCAGGUUGAGAUCUAUUGACAGGGCAGAGUGGGCAAACUGGCACUGCCUCUGUCUGGCCAGUACAUGUUUUGGGCCCAAUUCUACAACCCUUACUUGUACUGAGCAGUACUUCCGUGAACAGCCCCACCAAAUGUAAGGGGCUGAUCAGCAUGGGCAAGGGUUGCAGAAACAGGCCCUUUUGCCCAGAUCCUCAAAGGUAUUUGAGCACUUAACGGCCAUUGAUCUCAAUGGCCGUUAGGUGCCUUGAAGAUGUGGGCCUUUGUGAAUAACUCAGUUUCCCAGGGCACCAGUCUGGCCCCCGACAGUAGCACUGAACUCAGCUUAAAUAAGUGAAAGAGUUCCACCAAGUAACAAAGAGCAAACCUCAGUACAACAAUAGACCCAGGCAAUACCUUUGUUUCCUUGAGUGCAAUUUCAGGAGCUGAUGGUAUAAUUUUAAAAUCAUAGAGUUACAGAGGGGGAAAGGUUUCUUAACAAAGAAGCUUUUUUUAUUUAGUUGAUACAAAAAGGAUAUUUAAUUUCAAAAUAUGCAUUCCCUCCCAGAUAUUCCUUUAUAGCUGUGGUCCUUUCUGGUUUUUCAGAGGGUUAUCCUGACAAUUGCAUCUCUAACAAAGGGCAAAUUUUAGGGUAUAAUUUUAUCUGGGAGUCUCUCUCUUCCUCAUUCCUUAGGGGCA